UCUUAUGUAUGCAUAGUUUUAUUUAACUAUUAAGUCCCAUGUAUGUACAAGUGGUGUUUACGUCAGUACUUAGACAAUAGCACUAUCAGUCCAGACGGAGCCGUGAAAACUGCAUCGUAUUUAUAAACAAGUUGACUCAUUUCUAUGAGUUUGUUGCUACGUUUAACACUAUCAAACUAGAUGUAACCUUGUAUUGUAUUGACUACAAUAAAAGUCGAUACUAUUUGUGUUUUAUUCUGCGAAAGAAGUUCCCGUUCAAGUCUUAAUAGAAGCUAGAGGGAUGACCGUUUGAAUAAUAGCUCGAAUGCCAGCACGCGAUAUUUAAGUACUAAUAAACGAAAAGUAACCGGCAACUGCAUACUAACAGCCACAAACUGCGGGUGUCGCAUACAAACGACUAGCAAUCACAAUUAAAAUGGCCGCUGAGAUGAGAGUCUGGAUCAUUACCAACAGCCAGUAGGUACUACACAGCAAUGAAAUCGCUUAUGGGCAGAAAAAUUAAAAUGCAAUUUGGAUUUCGAGCAUCAUGUAAAUGAAAAUAGAAAUUGUCUCGAGCUUGGCAUGCGAUGAAUUUGUGUGAGUUUGUAUAGGUGUGUGCUGUGUCUUUACAUCGGCAUUACUCG